GCUAGGUAUAGUGGUGCAUGUCUGUAAUCCCAGCAGCAUGGGAGGCUGAGGCAGGAGGAUCACGAGUUCAAAGCCAGCUUCAGCUACAGUGAGGUGCUAAGCAACACAGUGAGACCCCUGUCUCUU
rnacentral:sRNA from 1 species